rnacentral:lncRNA from 1 species
CUGGCGUUUGAUUUGGAUUCUCGCAUUUAUAAUAGGAGGGGUGGUGAGUGAUAUUUUGAUGGAUUCGAAAUUCGAAAUCGAAUUUUGAAUAGGUUGUUGUGGUUGGUUGAAAGAUAUUUGGGAUUGGUUGGGAAUUCAAAAUUCGAAAUCGAAUUUUGAAUGAGUUUUUAGAUGGUUGGAGGAUAUUUUGAGAAUUGGUUGGGAAUUCGAAAUUCGAAAUCGAAUUUUGAAUUGGUUGUUGGAUAGUUGAAGGAUAUUUUGGGAAGUCAGUUAGAGAUUCGAAAUUCGAAAUCGAAUUUUGAAUAGGUUGUUGUGGUUGGUUAAAAGAUAUUUUGGGAUUAGUUGGGAAUUCAAAAUUCAAAAUUGAAUUUUGAAUAGGUUGUUGGAUGGUUGAAGGAUAUUUUGGGAAUUGGUUGGGGAUUCGAAAUUCGAAAUCGAAUUUUGAAUCGGUUGUUGGAUGAUUAGGUAUUCAAAAUUCGAAUGGAGUUUGGUUGAGAGAUAUUUUAGGAGUUGGUUGGGGAUUUGAAAUUCGAAAUCAAAUUUUGAAUGGGUUGUUGGAUGGUUGGAGGAUAUUUUUGAAAUUGGUUGCGGAUUCGAAAUUCGAAAUCGAAUUUUGAAUGGGUUGUNUGCGGAUUCGAAAUUCGAAAUCGAAUUUUGAAUGGGUUGUUGGAUGGUUGGAGGAUAUUUUGGGAAUUGGUUGGGAAUUUAAAAUUCGAAAUCGAAUUUUGAAUGGGUUGUUGGAUGGUUGGAGGAUAUUUUGGGAAUUGGUUGGGAAUUUGAAAUUCGAAAUCGAAUUUUGAAUGGGUUGUGAUUUGAAAUCGAAUUUCGAAUAGAUAUUUUAUAGGGUGUGGAUGUGGGCCGUCGUUGAUCAGGCCCGCUUUAAUUUUUUGGGCCCAAAUGAUAAUAUUUAAUGGGCUGGAAUUAAUUUUUUGGGCGGCCCAAAUGAUAAUAUUUAAUGGGCUGGAAUGGAGCCCUUUUUUUUAUUUGCAUGGGUUUUCAUGAGGCCCACAAACUCACAUUUAUGAAUGGACCUAUUGUAUAUUUGAACUAUAAUUAUUGGCCCAAAAAUUUAGUGGUUAACACGAGACCUAUUAGGAUUGUAUGAACCCGAAUCUAAUCAAUUUCGAUUAUGAUUACUUCACCCCCAAAUUUUUUUUUUUCUUCACUUCAAACAGACCCAAUCUCACUAGGGACUGUGAAAACACCCGUCCUACCUGUCGAAGCGAACCC